GCCUUGUGUAGGGCAGAGAAGGCCUGGCGUGGGCACCCCCCACCCCCAGCCUGGGUGAGGUGUUUUCGCCAGAAUUGCAGCAGCUGGGGCUGGAGGCCUCUUCCCAGGAAGAGCAGAGCGCCGCUUCCAAGAACUCAGAGGAGGCCGCAGGCGGGAGGGGGAGCGGGGGAGUUAAUUUUAAACCACACUGCCUUCAACGCUUCUCAGGAACUGGUUGCUCAACGUGAUCUGGCAGGUCCCAGGCGGCUGGGCAGGCCUGGUGCCAGCUCAGAAGUGGCGGGUGGAGGACACGCCCCAGGGGGAGGCCUGGUGACCUUGAGGGAAGUAGGGCCCUGUCCUUGACCACUUACCAGGGCCUGUCCCUCAUUCACCCGACCCAACUUUGCUGGGGGGUGUGAGGUGGGGUAAUUUAUUCAGUUCUAACCAGGAAAGGUAAAAUUAUAACAGGAUUAAUAACACAAGUGUCAUGGCCUUCCAAGGGCCCCAAGACGAUCCCAUCCCCCUUCCCUGCUCAGAACCUGCCUGUCCUGCACCCUGGCCUGUCCUCUGGAGGUUAUCUGAUGAGGGCCUAUUCUGAGGCAGGGGGCCCAGGCCCCAGCUUCAGCAUCAAGCCACCCAGGACAUGCAUCUGGCCUUUUGGAAAAUAGCCUGGAGAAUGCAGAGGAGAGGCUGCAGUGAGUGGGCACUGACAACUGUCUGGGACUGGGUUGAAGUCUGGCCACAUUUCAAGGGAAUGGCCAUGAGUGUUCCCAUCACAGGAUCCCAGGAGCAGCAUUGUUAGAGCAGGGGCCUGGAAGUAUGGCUGAGGGUGCUGAGUGAGCAGGUCAGGGUCACAUAGCUGGGAGGCACUAGGACAACCUUUUAACCACUCAUGACCCCUUUACCUUCAGAAUGGAGAACCUCCCCUGGCCAAGGCUGGACGGGGUGUCGGCAAGAACUUGCCUCUCUCCUCCCACCCUCAGGUCACUCCUUGGCCCUCACUGAGCACAGCGCCAAGCGUGCUACCCAUCCACCCCAAUGUCACAGAGAAGAUGGGGACAAUGCUGGCGUUAAGAAGGGCUAGGACCCAGUGGGUGGGUGGCAGCUGUGAGGUGGGGCUAUGGCAGAGAGGUCCUCCCUCCCCUGUAGGAGGGCAGUGGGGCAGCCCAAGGACACAGGUCAUUGCUGUGCUUGUACUCUGCAGUGGCCAGUUCUCAGAAGCUACCUGGGGCAGCUGGCAGUGGGUGGGAGUGCUGCAUUCUCUGUCACUUAGAGGCCUUGAUGCCUGCACCCAGGUCAGGCUGGCUGUGGCUGGAAAGAACCUGCUGUGGAUGAAGUUGACCUGGGACCCACGUGACCUGAGUGAAAAGAGCUAUGGGUUUGCAGGGGACACCGGUGCCCUGCUGCAGGUGGUUCUAGAGCUAGGUAUCCUGCAUCGUGACUUGAGCAAGUCAUGAACCCACUCUGAGCCUCAGUUUCCCACUCUGUUUUUGGUGUUUGGUUUGGUUUGGUUUUGAGACAGGGUCUCACCCUGUUGCCCAGGCUGGAGUCCAGUGGCACAAUCUCGGCUCACUGCAGCCUCUACCUCCUGAGCUCAAGCGAUCCUCCCACCUCAGUCUCCCAAGUAGCUGAGACUACAGGUGUGUGCCACCACACCCCACUAAUUUUUUGUACAGAUCUAGUUUCACCAUGUUGCCCAGGCUGGUCUGAACUCCUGGGCUCAAGCAAUUCUCCUCCCUCGGCCUCCCAAAGCACUGGGAUUACAGGCGUGAGCCACUGCACCGGGCCUCCACCUCUACUUUGGGGACAAUGUUAUCACUUGCCUUAUGGAAUCGUUGUAAGGAGGAAAUGUGUAGACUUGGUGAUUUUUGUUUCUCCUCGGAGUCUUCCCCUGGAUCCCAACUCACCCCUCCAGCUCCCACUUCACCAUGAGCCCAUGGAGACAUGAGCCCCAGAAGAGCUCUUUCUCUGGUCUCUAUUGCAGCAAGAAGUACCUGUGGGCACACUGGAGCAUAGGCCUUGAUGUUUGCAGUGCUCCAGGCAAAAGGACAAGUGGAGGCUCACAUACCAGAAUCUAAAUAUUAAACAACCAUAAAUCAAGCUGCUAAUGAAAUGUGUUCUAUCCUCCUACUGAACAAAUAAGCUUUCAUAGGAGUAAAAACAUCUGUAAAUCUACAGUUUUUAUAUAUCUGAAAGUCAGCAGAUAUCCAAAAUGAUGAAACUUAGUAAUUAUCACUCAUGUCCAGGUGUUCAGUGACCUGAGGUUUAAGUGAGAGAAUGAAGACUUGCCUGAUGCCUAAGAUAUUCUGUAUUUAUUCUGUAACAUUGAUUCUCCUCGUCUUUAGUCUAGUAAAAUGAUUGAUUAUGUUGUUACAGUCAAGACUUCUACACUAUUACUGUUCUUUUCAUAGUAAUGAUUAAAAAGAUUAAAAUAAGGCUGGGCAUGGUGGCUCACACAUGUAAUCCCAGAGCUUUGAGAAACCAAAGUGACAGGAUUGCUUGAGGCAGGAGUUCAAGUUUACAGUAAGCUAUGACUAUACUACUGUACUCCAGACUGGGCAACAGAGCAAGACCCUGUCUAUAAAAAAAAUAAUAAUUUUUAAAAAGACUAAAAUAAAAUAUUGGCCAGGUGUGGUGGCUCACACCUGU
rnacentral:lncRNA from 10 species